rnacentral:rRNA from 1 species
AAUUGGCUCACUGGCGCAGCCUGAUGCACCACGCCGCGUGCGGGAAGACGGCCCUAGGGUUGUAAACCGCUUUCAGCAGGGAAGAAACUGACGGUACCUGCAGAAGAAGGUGCGGCCAACUACGUGCCAGCAGCCGCGGUGACACGUAGGCACCAAGCGUUAUCCGGAUUUAUUGGGCGUAAAGAGCUCGUAGGCGGUUUAGUAAGUCGGGUGUGAAAACUCUGGGCUUAACCCAGAGAGGCCACCCGAUACUGCUAUGACUUGAGUACGGUGGGGGAGCGGGGAAUUCCUGGUGUAGCGGUGAAAUGCGCAAAUAUCAGGAAAAACACCGGUGGCGAAGGCGCCGCUCUGGGCCGAAACUGACCCUAAGGAGCGAAAGCGUGGGUAGCAAACAGGAUUAGAUACCCUGGUAGUCCACGCCGUAAACGUUGGGCACUAGGUGUGGGUCUCAUCUAACGAGAUCCGCGCCGUAGCUAACGCAUUAUUUGCCCCGCCUGGGGAGUACGGUCGCAAAACAAAAACUCAUAGGAAUUGACGGAGG